UUCCAAUAUUCCAAAGAGAUCGAGGAGAUGUAACAGGGUCUUGGACCUGUGACCUCCAUCUGAGUAACUUAGGUUAAUAUGUCCCUGGGAUUUCUCGCGGUCUUCCAUCAAUUUAACAGUUUGUUCCUAUUGCUCAAUAAAAUGUACUGUUGGAAAAGCGAGUGUAAGCAUUUUAGUUGUAGGAGAAAAAAAAGAGAGAGAAGGAGAAUGAGAGAGAAAGAGAGAGAGAGCUGACUUCAAUUGUCUGUUUUUUCUAUUUAAUGGAGACACCAGGGACUAGAAAUAUCCCGGGGCUGGAUGCAGGCUAGAUUCAAGGGACUGGUUAACACAGAUAGCAAAGUCUUUGCAAGGAGCCAGGACCCAGUUUCACUUUCAACUAUGGCAUUCUCAAUACAGUCCUAUCCCUAACAUGUGGGCAAAGAAAUUCCCAGUGGGAACUUGGAAUGAGGUUGGAAACUCUGAGGAGCGAGGCAAGAGUGUGACCUGGCUCCCUGGACCGCUGGCCUGGAGCCAGAUCCUCUGCUCCUUUUCAGAGAUGGAAUUGAGGCAGAGAAGAACUCACAGAGAGAAAAGAGACUCUUUUUGUUUUGUUUGUUUGGUUUGUUGUUGUGUCGGUGGUGGUGGCUCUUGGAGAGAAGCGUUGCCGCGUAUCAUCCGGGCCAUCAUCGAAUAAUACUGUGGACUCUCCAUUCUGGGCUGUACAGCAGGGCUAACCUGUGUCUACCGCACAUCUCACUCGUUUUUUCCUGUAGUCAAGUCCCUUUCCCUGCAGGGUGUUUGGAGCCACUUUCUACAUCAAUAUCAUCAGACUUCCUUGUUAGUUUGGUGGCAUGUUAUUCCAGGACAUAUCAGAGGAGACCCUUCUUGGGAAGUAGGUGCAGGAAGCAGUAAUAAUACCUUAAAAAAACCUCUUUCUUCUUGUUUCAAGUUAAUGUUUUUUAAAUUUGAUAUCUAUAUUUUCCCACUGUGACUGGUUUUGGGUUGUGGGAUUUUAAGGAAAUUCUCAAAAUACAAAGUUAAUUAUUUACUGAGUGCCAAUGAGAGAGGGAUACAGAAGGAGAAAUGUCGUGGUCGUUGCCCAAAAGGAGCUUUUGUGUAGUUAGGAAAUAAAGAAGGCACACACAGGACCAUUAGUGAACAAAGCUCUACGACAUGAGCUAAUCGUUUGGAAUCAACGAGUGCCUCAGUCAAACCACGAAACCAACCAGUGUGGAUCGGAACUCCACCGAAAACAGGAACAUGGCUGGGUCCCAAAAGGGUAGAUCCCAUGUGUUUCAGGUGAUUUCGACUCCACUCUUGGCUCCAUGGGCAUGACAUGACUCUAACGCUGAACCAUCGGUGAAUGCUGCUCCUCUGGCCACAGCUGGUUCAGGGAUGAACACAGGACCCAGUUCAGGCUAAUCAGAGCUAAUAAGAUUCAAUACAAGGACUUUCUGAAUUAUCAGAGAUGAGGCCUCUUUUUUUAAUGGCAGCCGUUGUGCCUUCAUAAGGGACAAGCACGCCUGAGAAUGGAGCCAACUUAGGCAGGGAAGAGCUGAGAGAUGGAGAGAAACUGAAUCUGGUGACAUCAUUUGAGUCGCUGAAUUCAGCUGUGUCUGAAACCAUAUUCUCUGUACAUUUUAGUUAUGUAAACCAAAACUUUCUCCUUUCUUUUCCUUUUUUAAGGAAGAUUAGCCCUGAGCUAACACCCACUACGAAUCCUCCUCUUUUUGCUGAGGAAGACUGGCCCUGAGCUAACAUCUGUGCCCAUCUUCUUCUACUUUAUAUGUGGGACACCUGCCAAAGCGUGGCUUGAUAAGCAGUGCAUAGGUCUGCACCCAGGAUGCAAACUGGUAAACCCCGGGCCACCAAAGCAGAAUGCGUGAACUUAACGGCUGCACCACCAGGCUGGCCCCAAUACUUUCUCUCUUUUACUUAAAACAUUUGGCUUGGGUUUCUGUCACUUGCAAUGAAAAGAGACCCAACUUGCGCAACAGGACCGGGAGAGGCAGAAGGACAAAAGCAAUCCAGGUCCAGAAGCUUCACUGUGACUGCCGGCAAUGACAUGGCAUUUUGAGGAGGCUCUCUUUGCUUACGUUGACUCCUGUGGAUCACGUGCACGUGAAUUAAGCUCUUGAAAGGUUUUACGGAGAUGGCGAAGCAGCUGAGAAGCAGAGGCUGGCUUGAUGUGCGGCUGUGGGGUGAGAUGAGCGAUACUCCUUGGUCGGCCUGGCUCAUCUUACUCGUCAUUUCCUGCAGGAGAACAGCUUGAGUGGCUCUCUGCAAUAUGUCACCUAGAAGCAGGAAGCCAUUCCGAACCCACGUGUUCCCAGCACUGAGUCAUCUCUAAAUGUCCUGAGCUUUCCAAUGACCUUGCUGACAGAGCAAGUCAAAGUCAGGAAGCAGAAAGGCCUGGAAACAAAAGCACCACAGGAGCGAUGAGUUCACUUGGUGCGCAGGUCAUGCUGUCUGCAUUCCUUCUUUGGAGAAAUGCCUGAUUACAGUCCUGGGAAUGCAGGGCACAGGGCCUAGCAAUAUUCUGGCCCAAAGAAGACCCUCCAAAACAUUUGUUAAGCAGAUGAAGAAAUGAGUUAAUGAACGAGCAUCUCAGAGCCUCGUGAGGACAAAGCAGAGCAGUCAAGAAUGUCCCAAAUGGGGGAAGCUUCUCCCAGGCAGUCAUCUGCGGACCAGGCUCCCCGGCCUCAGCUGUUCAUGCUCCUGUGCACACGCUCCCUGGGCCACAUGCCUGCACCAAGCUUCCUUUUGCCGUCUCAAAACUACUCUUGGCAAAGCAUGGCCUGGAGAACUUUCAUGAACCUUUGGUAAGGAAAAGGUUCUUUGUGGAAAUUGAGAAGUCCAGGCUGCGGCAGAGUAUGAGCAGCAGAUGGGUCUCAGUUUGGGGCAGUGAAUAAUUGCCCCGUCGGAGCGCCUUCUCAUGCCGGAAGGAAUAUGCCGCAUGAUGCGAGGGACCACGUUUCCUAUUUUACUUUGAUUUUACUUUCAGUGGAGUGGAGUUAAUGAAGUAUAGUCUAAACGGCAAAGAGGGGCUCUGGUCCCCGGAAACCCACGUUAAAACCGGAAGACAUCACAGAGGUUCCAGCGCUUUCACGAAGGGACCAGCCGGCUCGUCUGUCCGUAAAGCUGUGUUGGGUCAACGCCACAAGGGUCAUUGCUCCUGUGUCCCUGCUUCCGCCCUGCGGCGUGGGGGUGAGCGGCGGGGACAGAGACCGCGGGAGCUUUGUGGGCGGCGAGGGGGCCCCGCAGACGAAGCGGCCGCCCUGGUCAGUGGCCUUCUUUGCCACCCACCGUCCCGCCCAAGGCCCCAGAUACUUACAACGUUUUUCUUCAAAAGCCUAAAGGAAAAUGACCGAGCUGGCCUCUGUUUGGGGGCCGCGGGGCGUUCCCGGGCGUGACGUGGAGCCCUGGCCCUGCUGGCGGGGCCCGAACCUCCAGGUGGUGGAACCCGAGGCCUGGAAGGGUGGCCCGGGAAGAGAGCGGGGCAGGAAACGCGCCCCAGAGACGAGCCCAGCGCCAGGGCAGGGCAGCUGGAAGCGGG
ensembl:lncRNA